GCCCGGCCACUACCGGCCGCCCGCGAGGGCUCUGCGCGGCCGCUCGGCGCGCGCGCUCCGGCGGGGAGCAGGCGACAACUAAUGGAGACAUUUCCAGGCGGAGCACCUGGCGAGCGGAGCGCGCCGGCGUCCCCAGGCGCCGCGGUCGUCAGCCGAGCCCGCACCGGCGUGACGUGGGCGAGCGAGCGCGCUGCUCCCACCCGGCCGCCCAUUAACGCUUUCCCCCGCGGGCGCCGCGCGCUCGCCAACUUUCCCCUCCGCCUGGCCCGCGCCCUGGCUCCGGCAACUGCUGGGGGACAGUGCUCAUUUGCCUUCUCCGACAACGGCACGCUGGGCGGUGUUUGUCUCCGGGCCUCUCGUGUGCCUCUGUUUCCUCCACGGAGCAGGAGAGCCAGCAGUCCCGGCUUCCCGGCCCUGCUGCCGAGCCCAGAGCUUCCGCUGGCUUCUCUGGGAAGGACACAGCUUUGCGCCCUGAUGGGGAGAUAG
rnacentral:lncRNA from 1 species